GGCCUGGCGCGUCCGCCGAGCGCGGGGGUUUGUUUAUUUUCCCGGUUGGUAGCGGCGCUGGCGCUGGUUAGAGGUUCGCCGGUGACGUGAGCGCCCGAGUUGGGGGAGAGGACCAGAACCACCUGCUGGAGAAAGGGAGCUACGGGGGCCGGGCAGGGUCCAAACGCCUCACGUGGGCGGCGGCGCCACGGUCUUCGGGGUCACAGGGAAGAGAAGGGCUCUCCUCAAGCGGGUGGAAGGAGGGAGGCCUCCCGAGGGAAUGAGACUCCAGGCCACUCCCCCGCAGCAAGGCAGGAUCACCUGCGUCGCGGAGAGCAGUUAGAGGUCCCUGGAGUGGAAAAGGGCAGUGGGACCUGGUAGCUUGGGUUCCCUGCAACUUGGGGUUCGACCUCCAGGCAAUGAAGUAGGGAUGGUCCUGCAAGUCAAGAUUCCAGUAGCAAGAGUGCAUCAGAUCUCUGUAAGGAAAAUAACUAACAUUGCUCAGUUCCCUGUAGAGUUGCAGGGCGCUUUGACGUUAUCUCCCUUGGUUCUCCAUCAGGUCGUAGUGGACUAAUUUUACAGGCGAAGUUAAGUGACUUACCCAAAACCUCACAGCUAAUAAACGGCAGAGCCGGCACCCAGCUGUACUGGCUUCCAGCGCAUCCCAUUAUCUCCAUAAAUCCCCCUGAUUCAACUAAUAUUAGACGCCCCACAGGUAAGAUGCUUCAGAGUUAGAGGGGAGUUGAAGAUACCUUUGCCUUCAAAGAAGUAAGGAAUGAAACAAAGAUAAAACAGACAAUAAAAGACAAACCAUGAUAGGUGCCACGUGAAAAGUGGCAGAGUACUGCCGGGAAUCAAAGAACCGUGUAUAUCUGUCUUGGGGAUAAGGAAAGAAACGCAGCAUGAAGGAGUAGGCAUUUGGGAUUGACCUUGAAGGAGACAGGGAGAGUUUUACAGCAAGAAGGGAUAGCAUGAGAAUAUAUAUGAAGGCGAAUCAGUGAAAGUUGUGUUGGGGAAAGAGCAAAGACUCCAGGUAUGUUGAGAGGUAGAAAAGACAAAGGAGUAUGGGGCCUAAGAUACCAAAUGGAUGAAUUUAUAUUUAAUUCAGUAUUUUGAGUUUUUAUGGUUCAGAAGUUUGGGGGAAGAAAAGGAAGGUUUUUUUUUUCUUUAUGCUAGUGAUUUAUCUGUGAAGGGAAGCAGAAAUCAGAGGUGGAAAAACUGACAGAUCUACUGUAGGCCAGGUAAAAGGUAAUGAUGAGUCUGACCUAAAGGGACAGCCAGGGGAAUUUAAAGAGCAUAGUUGAGAGAUGAUGUGCAUGCAGAAUCUAUAGAAUUUGCUAACUGAUUGAUUAAUUGUGGGUAGGAAGAGAGAAAUCAAAGAAAGUGGAGGUUUUGAGUUUCUAGAUAAUUGCAAGAGAGAAAAGAGACAAUUACAAAGGAAAGGAGAAGGAGCUACUUCUUGAGAGAAGAUCAGUUUAGAUUUAGACAUUUUAAGAAUUCAAAGGGUUGUCAAGACAGCCAGACGGACAUGGACACUAAUAAGUUAGAAAUAAAGGUUUUGUAAUAUGGGAAAGAGGACUGAGCUAGAAAAUAGACUCAUAGAUAAUCAGCCUAGGAGUGAUAUUGCUGUGAGAUAAAAGAAGAAAACAAAGUCAGAAUCUUGGAAAACACCCUCUUCAGAGUCUCGCUGCUCAAAACGUGGUCAGUGGCCCAGCAGCACUGACAUGAGGACCUUAGUUGGAAACUCAGAAUCUCAGGCUCCACCCCAGACCUGCUGAACCAGCAUCUUCAACUUAACAAGAACCCGAAGAGAUUUGUGCCACAUCAAAAAGUUUGAGAAGCUCUGAUCUAGCUGGACCCUGGACACGGUGACUCUGAUUCAAUUAUGCAGAUGACCACAAGCCUCUGGGGUUGGCAGAGCCACAAGAAAGAAGGUGCCUGGAUGAAGGAGAGCUACCCACUGACCUGGACACCCAAUUAUGUCAUAGGUGCUGCAAUCUAGAGACAAAAUAUUCCUUACACUGCCAGAUACUUGCAAACUAAGGGGAACGAGCUUCCCUCUGAAUGUUUAUGAAGGAGAGACCACUGUGUCAUCUGUCUUAGAGCUAUUGGAAUCCUGGAUCAUUGUGGGAAAUGAAAAGAACUGGUUUUUAGCAAGGAGACCAAGAAACUCUACUCCCUAGGGGCUAGCAAUGAGAGAAAGGAAGCCUUGAGUCUUUGAGCACAGGGUGACAGUUUGGGUCCUAUGUGAGAUGAUCAAAUCCACAGCAACAGAGGAAAGGACAAAAGGAAAAGAUACUUCGAUGGAAUCAGCAGCCAUUGAUCCAAUGCCAACUCCAAGACUGGAACGUCGCAAUGAUAGUUCCAAGGCGGAAAUUUGAC
rnacentral:lncRNA from 1 species